UGAAGGCCGGCAGAGGACAUCAGGCACCCAGAAAAGCAACCCAAGUCUUCGAAAGGAGCUGUGUAUCCUGAAUCCUUCAGUGAAUGCAUGAAAAUUGAUUCAACCAGACGGACACUUGGGUCACCAUUUCUCUCCCAGUUGAUUCAGAAAGCAAGCAAACAACAAACAACGCUGGCUAUGAGAUUGUUAGCAAUGAGUCCGGAAUUUCCCCUAGUGCUGGAAAACUCUGCUAGCUGAGAUUUCUCUCCCCAUCACACCCAGUUCCCUCCUCCCAAGGUACCAAUUAAACUUUUUUUAAGCCCCUGAGAUGAAGAGGAAUAUCUCUGCUGUGAGGAGUUCCUAAUUCAGUGAUGCUGCUCCUUAGAGAAUCAAGUCUGCCCAGGAACAACAUUCCCUAAACUUCUAAACUGGGCUCCUCCGAGACUGGACAUUCUCAAAAAAUGGUCCCACAUGAAUUAUCUGAGACCAUUUUGCAGAUUGUAUUUUCCUUUUAGAGAUUCACAUGUUAGGAUGUGGAAAGGCUCU